CAUCAAGAAUGGGAGACAGACCACCAGCAGGCUUUGAUGGCUGCCAGUAAUGGUAGUAAUGACUUUCCAUCCCUGCUGAUUUAGCUGAGCCCCAGCUGGUGACCAGGAGGAGCAGGGCUCUAGACUUCAAGCUGUCCACUAUGCUGGUUUUCUCUUAGUUUUACAGGCCUGUGUCUCUCCGGGGAAAGGACUUUCCAGAGAAACAAAUCAAGAAAAAAUAACUGGCUUAAUUUCCCUCCACCCAGCAACAGUUCUUCACAGCUGUACAUAGGGACCAUGGAGCAGCCAGAGGGGUUGUGUGGGACAGAAGCUCCCUGGGUGCUCCCACUGGCAGAUGAGAAGACUGUGGAUAGCACACUGUUUCAGUAGUUGCUGAGCAGUGCUUGCAAUAAGUUGAGGACUUUUCAGCACCCCCCUCCACCCCACCAACGAGGCUGGGAAGCACAAGAAGCUGGAAGACACAGCAGAGGGAGCUGAACCCAACUGGCCAAAGAGACAUUCUGUAUCAUCAUAUGACACAUGUAUUUGUGCAGGCAGACACACUGUGCUUUGUAAGUUGCUGCAUUUUCCCCUGGCUGCUGUCAAGGUGUUGUGGAGGUUCCCAUUGUGUGGAAGUGCAAGGGGGACUUGUGAGCCUCCUCAUCCAGCAGGGAAACAGAGAAGAAAAAUCUGAUGUCAUA